rnacentral:misc_RNA from 1 species
GAUGAAGAACGUAGCGAAAUGCGAUAAGUAAUGUGAAUUGCAAAAUUCAGUGAAUCAUCGAAUCUUUGAACGCACAUUGCGCCCGCCAGUAUUCUGGCGGGCAUGCCUGUUCGAGCGUCAUUUCAACCAUCAAGCCCUGCUUGCGUUGGGGUCCUGCGGCUGCCCGCAGGCCCUGAAAACCAGUGGCGGGCUCGCUAGUCACACCGAGCGCAGUAAUACAUCUCGCUUUGGGCGUGCGGCGGGUUCUUGCCGUUAAACACCCCCUUUUUACCAAGGUUGACCUCGGAUCAGGUAGGAAUACCCGCUGAACUUAAGCAUAUCAAUAAGCGGAGGA